GACGAACGCUGGCGGCGUGCUUAACACAUGCAAGUCGAACGAUGAACUGGAGCUUGCUCCAGGGAUUAGUGGCGAACGGGUGAGUAACACGUGAGUAACCUGCCCUUGACUCUGGGAUAAGCGCUGGAAACGGCGUCUAAUACCGGAUACGAGCUUCAGCCGCAUGGCUAGGAGUUGGAAAGAAUGUCGGUCAAGGAUGGACUCGCGGCCUAUCAGCUAGUUGGUGAGGUAAUGGCUCACCAAGGCGACGAGGGGUAGCAGGACUGAGAGGGAGACCGGCCACACUGGGACUGAGACACGGCCCAGACUCCUACGGGAGGCAGCAGUGGGGAAUAUUGCACAAUGGGCGCAAGCCUGAUGCAGUAACGCCGCGUGAGGGAUGACGGCCUUCGGGUUGUAAACCUCUUUUAGUAGGGAAGAAGCGAAAGUGACGGUACCUGCAGAAAAAGCACCGGCUAACUACGUGCCAGCCGCCGCCGUAA
rnacentral:rRNA from 1 species